rnacentral:lncRNA from 1 species
CAUAAGUAGUAGAUGUUGGUACCGAUUAAGUAACCACACUUGAAAUCGUAGAAACACCAUAAGCAGUCUCUGGCACAGAUGGAGGUAUAACACUAGAGCUGGAGGAAUACUAGGUGCACUCAAAGGAACAUCCUCCAAAUGAGUCAACAAAUAAAUCAAUAAACCCUCUAAGACUAAGGUAGAAGUACUUUGUGGAAUCUAAGCAGGUCUUAUAUCUUUAGCAU